UACGUAGGGGGCAAGCGUUGUCCGGACUUAUUGGGCGUAAAGCGCGCGCCGGCGGCUGUUUAAGUCUGGUGUAUAAACCUGGGGCUCAACUCCGGGUCGCACUGGAAACUGGAUAGCUUGAGUGCAGAAGAGGAGAGUGGAAUUCCACGUGUAGCGGUGAAAUGCGUAGAUAUGUGGAGGAACACCAGUGGCGAAGGCGCCUCUCUGGGCUGUAACUGACGCUGAGGCGCGAAAGCGUGGGGAGCAAACAGG
rnacentral:rRNA from 1 species